GCUGUUGGCACAGGUAGGGUGCAGGUAGGGUGCUGUUGGCACAGGUAGGAUGCUGUUGGCACAGGUAGGAUGCAGUUGGCACAGGUAGGAUGCUGUUGGCACAGGUAGGAUGCAGUUGGCACAGGUAGGGUGUAGGUAGGGUGCUGUUGGCACAGGUAGGGUGCAGGUAGGGUGCUGUUGGCACAGGUAGGAUGCUGUUGGCACAGGUAGGAUGCAGUUGGCA